rnacentral:rRNA from 1 species
UAGUCCACGCCGUAAACGAUGUUCACUCGCUGUCUGCGAUACACAGUAGGCGGCUGAGCGAAAGCAUUAAGUGAACCACCUGGGGAGUACGCCCGCAAGGGUGAAACUCAAAGGAAUUGACGGGGGCCCGCACAAGCGGUGGAACAUGUGGUUUAAUUCGAUGAUACGCGAGGAACCUUACCUGGGCUUAAAUGUAGGUUGUAUUCUGCCGAAAGGUGGAUUCCCUUCGGGGCUACUUACAAGGUGCUGCAUGGUUGUCGUCAGCUCGUGCCGUGAGGUGUCGGGUUAAGUCCCAUAACGAGCGCAACCCCUACCGUUAGUUGCCAUCGGGUAAUGCCGGGGACUCUAGCGGGACUGCCACCGUAAGGUGAGAGGAAGGUGGGGAUGACGUCAAAUCAGCACGGCCCUUAUGCCCAGGGCUACACACGUGUUACAAUGGCCGGUACAAAGGGCAGCUACACAGCGAUGUGAUGCUAAUCUCUAAAGCCGGUCCCAGUUCGGAUCGGAGUCUGCAACCCGACUCCG